GGGGGCAGGGCAGAGAAAUGAAAUGGGCUAUUAUAGCAUAGAGUUUUCUUUACUUAAAGUCUAUCCCCUCCUUCCAAACUGAAUUUUGAGGAUUGCCUUGGUUGAUAAGUGCCUUCUGAAGAUGAGUUCUCCUGGAUGGGUUCAACUAGCUCUCACUCAGGGAAAAGUAGCCAAUGAAAUGGAAAUGGUCUGCCUUCAAGUCGGUUCCGAUUUAUGGCGACCCUACAAAUAGGGUUUUCAUGCAAACCCUAAGAAGAAAAGUUCCUGCUAAAUAUUAUGACCAGAGAAUGGUUCAGCUGUACAUUUUGAAGAUUUCUCUUAUUUGGAUGAUGUCCACCAGGCGCUCAAAGACCUGCCUCACGUUGAUGUUCUCCUUGGCACUAGCUUCAAAAUAAUCAAAUCCUGUUUUUUAUUUUUUUAAAAGUAACAAAACAAUAUCUGGUUAUCCCAAAAUUGCUUCUCAUGUUACACUGGGCUUAAAUUAUCUAUUCAUUGUCAUAAAUAUUUGGGGGAUUUAAAAAAAAUUAUAUCUUAAGUUCAGAACAGUUAAGGAGGUUUUAUGAAAAGCAAUCCUGUAUAAAUCAUUCUCUAGUUGUCUGUAAACAUAGAUACUUUAUGUUUUAUUCAGUUUUUAAAAGGACAGUUAAAGAGGUUUGAAAUAGUCUUGCAUCAUCUGAACUUAGCACAGCUGUAAGGAAAAAAUAUUGUUUAAAUUAUUAUAUAACUUUGGGGGUCCUCAAGCUAGACAGGCUACUCCAUGGUAUACUAACCUUAAGUCCUGCAUGGACUGUUCCCCCACUAGAAACCCAGUCCACAAAUGUGUGUUAAAAUUUACAAAGUAGGUGUGCAUAUUCAAGAUCAUCUUGAUAGUAAAGGCAUUAUUAACAUGUGUUGUAAUUCUGAAAUGCAACCUCAUGGUCCACCUAAGAAUCCCAGCAACAAGUAAGUGGUCUAUCAAUGGACCAUUACCUACCUUAUGUGCCCACCCCUGCAAAUGGGAAAGAUGUAAGGCCUUCAUGAGCAUCAGAAAAACCUGAGAGGACACUUUGUGCAACAGCUUGUCAUAUGUAUGAUAAACAUAUAAAGGCCAGUUAAGUAUUGUUGCACACCACCCCAAUCUCCGAGCAGCGUGAGACUUCCAGGGGUGCCAGCACUUACCCAGGUUUGGUUUCCAGAGUCAGGGUUUGGUCAGCAGAGCCCAAUGUGUCUUUAUGAUAUAUGGUUUAAUUACAUAUAUUCACAGCCUGAGUAUAAGAUGGAGGGGUUCUCUGCCUUAGCAGUCUAUCAGAUCUUGCUCCCUAUCACCCAUAGCUUUGGGGGUUCAGACAUAGAUAACAGAUCUCUCUGUCUUUUCAGCUUCACCCCAAGACGGGACUAAAAACACACAAACUCCUCCUUGGCUCCAGGAUGGGAGGGCAGAGGGCCUCUCUCCUCAAAACAGUUCCAGUAGCAACAGGAUCUCUCCUGGCCACAUCCCUUUGGAUAUGCAGAUCCAAACUCAGUGAGCCCAUUAACUCCCAUAAUGACUUGGCUAAACUAUUAGAUUAACAGAGGAAACUAGUCUGACUAGAGGAGCAGGUUUCUUCCUUUGCAGAUUGUAUUUCUUACAGACACACAAUUAUAAGCUGGAAAGGGUCUUCCAGAUAUUAUCCAAACCUACCCCCACAAUCCUGUAACAGUAUCUUUUGGUACAUUAGGUGUACCUAAUGCACCCUUCUGUCUGCAGAAACCCUGGACAAAUGUUUAACAUGACAGGAUACUAGUAUAGGAAUGGGGAACCUCUGGUCCUCCAGUUGUUCCUGGACUAUAACCCCCAUCACCCCAGACCAUUUGCUAUCCUGGCUGGGGCUGAUGGGAGUUGGAAUCCAACAACUUCUAGAGCAGGAGUAGACGACAACCAGUAACCCUCCUGCCUGUAACCCUUGUUUUCUCCCAUAGAAAUCAAUGGGUGUCUUGUAUAGAAGACAGUAUAUAUAGCCCCUCAUAGGAAUGCUAAUUGCCAGUUAUGGCUAGUACACCAGCUACGGUAUCUUCUGGACAGGAAUGACUUAGCCACUGUAUUCCAUGCCCUGGUAACCUCCAGAUUAGACUUUAUAAUGUGCUGUGUGUGGGGCUGCCCUUGAAGAGAGGCUGGGGGCUAUAACUGGUACAAAAUGCAGCAGCCUCGUAUAUCUGUCAGGCAUAAUGCCUGUCCUGAAGCAAGUACAGUGGUUGCCUAUUCAUUUCCAGGCCCAAUUCCAGGUAUUUAUCUUUGUAUUUAAAGCCCUAAAGGCCUUGGGCUCCAAAUACCUGCAAGAGCACCAUAUGUGCCAGUCAGGACAUUACAAUCUGCAAAAGAGGCUCUCCUUAUGGUGCCAUCUCCCUUGGGGUUUUUUUUGGGGGGGGUGGAUUAUGGGAGAGCCUUUGUGAUGUCCCCAAAACUGUGGAGCUCCCUCCCUACAGUGGUAUUAUCAGGUGCCAUCUCUCUAUAGCUUCUCUUCUGCUUGGCCUUUGAUAGUUGAACUGUUGUUGCUACUGCCCCAUAUGUCACCUGGUUUAGCUGAUAAGUAUUGUAUGAUAUGGUAUGGUAUUUUGGGGUGAGGUUGCUUUUAUUCUGUUCUGUGGUACUGCAUUUUUUCUUCCCCCAACUUAAAAAAAAAUUAUUAAUAAUUUUAACACAUCAAAUAUUAAAUGCACAACUCUACUCACACAUUAAAAAAAUUAUAAUAUCAAAUCUUUCUGUGUGUGAGACAGAUAUAUCCAGUCAUAGUCAGUAAUUAAUAAUCAAUACAGUGCUGACAGCAUGCUCUUACCAUAUGGAGAAGUAUUAAAUUAGUCAUUAUCCAUAUUAUAUCUGUUUUUAUAUGUUCAAUCAACAGGAGUCAUUUCUAAUUCCCCUCCCCCAGAUGGUACCCACCCUGGGACUGUAUGGUAUAGGGCAGGUAACAAAAUAAAUAAAAAAUAUGCAUGUCACUAGUGAGAGAUCUCCAGAAACUAGCCUGCCAUUCUGAGCUCCUUCAGGAGGAAGGGUGGGAAAUAAAUCGAAUGAAUGAAUGAUACAAAAGGUAGAGACACACUUACUGUUGUGCUGGUUCCAGUGUGUCUCCACCUCUCUUUUCUGAAAACGGGGGCACACCAUGCUAGUCAAACCCUGCUCUGUUUUACUUUAAAACCUGGUGGAAUCAGCUUGAGUGUGUGUGGGUUUUUUAAUUCGCUUCAAAGAGAUUUUGCAACUGAUUGGCAGAUAAACUCAUUCCCCCUCCACGUGUGGCCAAUGAAAAUGAUUUGCCAUAGGCGACUAGUGUGCUCACAGCCAACGAAAGAGACAAUCGGAGCAAAUACAUGAGGUACUGACGUUUUUGAAGAAAGAGAUUACAACAACUGCUAACAAGUUUUAACCCUUACAAAGAACUUUUAAAUAUUGCUCUCUUAUAAUGUCUGGGACUGGGUCUAGACUCUAGGUAGAGCCAGAAGAGUACAUAACAUUGGGGACACAUUUAUGAUAUAUAGACAUUUAUACAAAAAGUCAACACACUUAAAACUCAAGCUUUCCAGCUCAGUAAUCACAAGAUAUUAAUGAAGUCAUAGAUGGGGACCAGCAAAAAUUGGGAACAAAGUUUGAUUGUGGUUGCUCACUUUGAACAGUGUUGAGAAGCAAAGAUUAAGAAGCAAAGAUUUGGAUGUUGAAAAUUGAGUUCAACAUGAGAGGUUUUAAUAAAACUACGGAUUAAAGAAUUUCCAUAAACACACUGAUAACUCUUCUACUAAACAAGCAAUUAUUUGCACACCAGAGCUGUAUGGAAUGUUCUUAAUUUGACAUGUGAUAUAUUGCAUGAUGUUCUCAAAUAUCUGAGAAGGUACAUAACGAAGGGUCAGAAUAAAAACCACUGCAGAGAAACCAUGUGCAGCAUUAACUGCCAUGACAAAUUGAAUGUUGGACAGUAUACUGAUUAGCGUGCCAAAUAUUAGGAAAUAAACACAGAACAAGGACUGAAUUGAAAUCCAUGCAUAAGAUUAUUAACAAGGCUGCUUCAUCAGACCAGAUGUUCCAAGUGAACAAUCAGUGUUAACAUUCUAACAAAUGAAAAGCUAAGUGAGGAAAAUAAUAUCUUAUGUCUGCUGGCAUAUCUCAAUUCCUGGCUACAGUACAACUCAGAGCGUCCCUCAGUGGUGGCAGCAGAGAGACAGCAGAUGCUUCCAGACAAGUGUUUAUUGUGGUAUUGGUAUUGCAAGCUUUUCACAUGCCCACAUGAAGUAGUCAGCAUGAAAAUGCCAGCUUAUUACCCCAGGCCCAAUCCAGAUUUAUCUGUUCCAUUGAAAAUCCAACACAUUUUUAAAAGUAGUUGCUGGGUGACCUGCUUGUGAUAUCUAAAUGAACUAUUUGUGUUAAUUUGGGCCCUGCUAGGCUUGCAUACCCAGCAAUUAUAGUAAGUUUAAUGUGCUCAGUAGAAUAGCCAUGUUGGAUUAAGAUGGAUGAUACUAUGUCAUGUCUGUUAUUUUUGUGUAAACUACUUGGACCUUUCUGCACAUGUUUGCUGCUUUCAGUGCUACUACUUGAGACCUUGGCAUCGUGAUAAGAGUCACAGCAAACAGCCAUGGAGCCAAAACAAUAGUGAGAACAUCAGAUGUUUUUGCAAGCCAGUGCUAUCCAUUCUGGGAGGUGUUAGUUCUUUUGGGGUCUUGCCAGGGGGUUGUAUGGUUUUUCUUCUUCUUUCUUGCUGAUUGCUACCUGCCCUGCUUUGUGUGGUUCACCCAGCUGAAGGCCAAAGGCUUGGGCACUAUGAAUUUUAUUGAGCUAAUAUGCUAGGAAAUUUAGAACUGUUUUAAAACUAGAUGGGCUGGAGGGAGUUAGGAGGUGACGAUGUUAUUUACUCAGAUCGAUUGUUUUGUCCAUGCUGUUUAUUAUGUAGUUUAUAUCACAUUGCUUUAAGUUGCUUUAAAAUCUCAUAUGUAAUUUGUUUUCUUCUCUAUAAGUUAAUCUUUGUGCAAUAAUAAACUGACUGAUUUGUUCCAGUCACAGUCUUAUCUGUGGUUAAGCCUUACUCCCUUUCCCACUGGGUUGCUCC